rfam:Populus trichocarpa scaffold_5_contig_411, whole genome shotgun sequence.
UCUCGUGUAUGAUGAGAAACAUAAAAAAAUUACAGUUAUCCCUGGCUGAUGCAUCUGUGCUGAUUAUCGUUGACUCUGACACAAAC